rnacentral:snoRNA from 1 species
UCAUCAGGUGGGAUAAUCCUUACCUGUUCCUCCUUUUGGAAGGCAUAUUAGAAAAUGAUCAUUGGCGUUUGCAUGAUUAGCACCUCUGUAUAAUCAGGACUUGCAACACUAUGAUUGCUCUUAUUUGAA